rnacentral:rRNA from 1 species
GACGAACGCUGGCGGCGUGCUUAACACAUGCAAGUCGAACGGAAAGGCCCUGCUUUUGUGGGGUGCUCGAGUGGCGAACGGGUGAGUAACACGUGAGUAACCUGCCCUUGACUUUGGGAUAACUUCAGGAAACUGGGGCUAAUACCUGAUAGGAGCUCCUGCUGCAUGGUGGGGGUUGGAAAGUUUCGGCGGUUGGGGAUGGACUCGCGGCUUAUCAGCUUGUUGGUGGGGUAGUGGCUUACCAAGGCUUUGACGGGUAGCCGGCCUGAGAGGGUGACCGGCCACAUUGGGACUGAGAUACGGCCCAGACUCCUGCGGGAGGCAGCAGUGGGGAAUAUUGCACAAUGGGCGGAAGCCUGAUGCAGCAACGCCGCGUGCGGGAUGACGGCCUUCGGGUUGUAAACCGCUUUCGCCUGUGACGAAGCGUGAGUGACGGUAAUGGGUAAAGAAGCACCGGCUAACUACGUG